GCUUAUAAUGGAAUUGAAGAUCAGAAUGUGGAAGGAGAAGAGCAGACGGUGAAAAAUUCAAAUAACAGGAUCGUAGAGGAAGAGGAAAAAACAGAGGAUGAAGUGCAGAUACUUUCUGAUGAACUGAUGGCUUAUGAGUCAUUGAUGAAGUUCUAUGAAAUACCGUAUGUUGACGGGCAAUCAGUGGCGGCGACGGUGAAUCCAGCGGCGGAGACCGCCGUGGGCGGUGGCUCGAUGGAG
rnacentral:lncRNA from 1 species